AUUGAACGCUGGCGGCAGGCCUAACACAUGCACGUCGAACGAGUGGCGGACGGGUGAGUAAUGUCUGGGAAACUGCCAGAUGGAGGGGGAUCACUACUGGAAACGGUAGCUAAUACCACAUACCAUCGGAUGUGCCCAGAUGGGAUUUGCUAGUAGGUGGGGUAAUGGCUCACGGAGGCGACGUUCCCUAGCUGGUCUGAGAGGAUGACGAGCCACACUGUGACUUAGACACGGUCCAUACUCCUACGUGAGGCAGCAGUGGGGAAUAUUGCACAAUGGGCGCAAGCCUGAUGCAGCCAUGCCGCGUGUAUGAAGAAGGCCUUCGGGUUGUAAAGUAGUUUCAGCGAGGAGGCGUUACUCGCAGAAGAAGCACCGGCUAACUCCGUGCCAGCAGCCGCGGUAAUAC
rnacentral:rRNA from 1 species